UACGUAGGGUGCAAGCGUUGUCCGGAAUUAUUGGGCGUAAAGGGCUCGUAGGCGGCGUGUCGCGUCGGGGAGUGAAAGCCCCGCUGCUUAACGGCGGGUUGGCUUCCGGUACGGGCAUCGCUGGAGUGCGGCAGGGGAGACUGGAAUUCCUGGUGUAGCGGUGGAAUGCGCAGAUAUCAGGAGGAACACCGGUGGCGAAGGCGGGUCUCUGGGCCGUUACUGACGCUGAGGAGCGAAAGCGUGGGGAGCGAACAGG
rnacentral:rRNA from 1 species